CCAGGGCAAUGUCCACAUUUGCCAGCUUUCACUAAACAUAGAAGGUAGUAGGUGUGUGGUUUAAAUAGAUUGUCAGG
ensembl:miRNA